CGUCCAAAAAAAUUCCUUAAAAAGGCAAAAAUUAACCACCCUGGAAAAACAACAAGAGAGGAAUAUGAAAGAAGGCUGCUCUGUCACCAGUUUUGCAUUGCUAUUCCCAUUCUCUGUACUGGAACAUCAUUUGUUCAGCAGGGGAAUGAUCUUUGUGGUUGUUCAAAGUGUAUCACUGGCAGUUGAAUGUCACCAUCUACCUUUGGCUGAUUAAACUCUGUUUUGCUACAUCUGAUACAUCUGUAAGAACGCACCAUGCUGAUCAGGCAUACCUUUUCCACAAAAUGUCAUGCGUGUUUAUUAUUAGAUUAAGCUGCAGCAGGUUUAAUUUUAGAACUUUUUAUUCAAGUGGUACAAUGAAGAUUGAAUGCUAGGCAUUAUUAAAGAUGCAGAUGUGGAUAUAUUGAAUUAUAAACCUCAUUAAAUGCAAUGUCCUAGACAGGCUUAUGAGAUAAGCUACAAAGAACUUCCUUACUUCAUGCUAAAGUUAUUAAAAUAUUAGAAGGUAAAUCUAAUCAUAAAAAUAUUAUGAUAGAAUGAAACUGAUACUUUAAAAACCUUAUUACAAAAGACUGUAUUUCUUUCAUGUAUAAUUACUUCCUUUUCAACUUAGAUUGCUGGAUUUGAUAUUAAAAGGAAAUGUUCUUCCUCUUUUGAAUGCACAUAAAAAGCAAAUACAAUGGAGCCAAUUUUUAGUCACAACUUUUGGCAUUUGAAUCUUGAAUGGUCCUCCCCCUCCUCAUUGUCAUGUACUUAGUUCUCAUCGACAUUAAAGUUAUCCACUGAAAAUGAUAUACAGCCAUCUCCACUUGCAUGGAUGAGUGGCUCAGACACAACUAUCACAGAAAAUUUGUGAAGAGGUUUUGGAAUGUCUGAGGUGGCAAAAUUUAGAGAAGAGACCAACAACACAGAGCAUGGCAGAGAUUCAUGGAAAAAAUAAAGGCACAUUCAGAAUUCUCA
rnacentral:lncRNA from 1 species